rnacentral:rRNA from 1 species
UACGGAGGAUGCGAGCGUUAUCCGGAUUUAUUGGGUUUAAAGGGUGCGUAGGCGGAUCGUUAAGUCAGUGGUCAAAUUGAGGGGCUCAACCCCUUCCCGCCAUUGAAACUGGCGAUCUUGAGUGGAAGAGAAGUAUGCGGAAUGCGUGGUGUAGCGGUGAAAUGCAUAGAUAUCACGCAGAACCCCGAUUGCGAAGGCAGCAUGCCGGCUUCCUACUGACGCUGAGGCACGAAAGCGUGGGGAUCGAACAGG